rnacentral:rRNA from 1 species
AAUACGUAGGUGGCAAGCGUUGUCCGGAUUUACUGGGCGUAAAGGGCUUGUAGGCGGUCCGUUAAGUCCGGUGUGAAAUCUCCCGGCUCAACUGGGAGGGGCCAUCGGAUACUGACGGGCUAGAGGUAGGCAGAGGAAAGCGGAAUUCCCGGUGUAGCGGUGAAAUGCGUAGAGAUCGGGAGGAACGCCAGUGGCGAAGGCGGCCACCUGGGCUGUCUCUGACGCUCAGACCCGAAAGCUGGGGGAGCGAACGGGAUUAGAUACCCCGGUAGUCCCAGCCCUAAACGAUGCUCACUAGGUGUCGGGGGGUCACUCCCUCGGUGCCGAAGCUAACGCAUUAAGUGAGCCGCCUGGGGAGUACGGCCGCAAGGCU